UGGUGGGGUGACUUGUCUGUUUAAUUGCGAUAACGAACGAGACCUUAACCUGCUAAAUAGCCCGCAUUGCUCCGGCAGUGCGCUGGCUUCUUAGAGGGACUUUCGGCUCAAGCCGAAGGAAGUUUGAGGCAAUAACA
rnacentral:rRNA from 1 species